GAUGAACGCUGGCGGCGUGCCUAAUACAUGCAAGUCGAACGAGUUCUGAUUAUUGAAAGGUGCUUGCAUCUUGAUUUUAAUUUUGAACGAGUGGCGGACGGGUGAGUAACACGUGGGUAACCUGCCCUUAAGUGGGGGAUAACAUUUGGAAACAGAUGCUAAUACCGCAUAAAUCCAAGAACCGCAUGGUUCUUGGCUGAAAGAUGGCGUAAGCUAUCGCUUUUGGAUGGACCCGCGGCGUAUUAGCUAGUUGGUGAGGUAACGGCUCACCAAGGCAAUGAUACGUAGCCGAACUGAGAGGUUGAUCGGCCACAUUGGGACUGAGACACGGCCCAAACUCCUACGGGAGGCAGCAGUAGGGAAUCUUCCACAAUGGACGCAAGUCUGAUGGAGCAACGCCGCGUGAGUGAAGAAGGCUUUCGGGUCGUAAAACUCUGUUGUUGGAGAAGAAUGGUCGGCAGAGUAACUG
rnacentral:rRNA from 2 species